AAUCCUGGCUCAGGAUGAACGCUAGCUACAGGCUUAACACAUGCAAGUCGAGGGGCAGCAUGAAAGGAACUUCGGUUCUUUUUGAUGGCGACCGGCGCACGGGUGCGUAACGCGUAUCGAACCUGCCUCAUACUCGGGGAUAGCCUUGCGAAAGUAAGAUUAAUACCCGGCGGUCUCGGACGGCCGCAUGACAGUCCGAGUGAAGAUUUAUCGGUAUGAGAUGGCGAUGCGUCCCAUCAG
rnacentral:rRNA from 1 species